UACGUAGGGGGCGAGCGUUGUCCGGAUUUAUUGGGCGUAAAGAGCUCGUAGGUGGCGGGUCACGUCGGGUGUGAAAGCCCGGGGCUUAACUCCGGGUCUGCAUUCGAUACGGGUCUGCUGGGGUCCGGCAGGGGAGACUGGAAUUCCUGGUGUAGCGGUGAAAUGCGCAGAUAUCAGGAGGAACACCGGUGGCGAAGGCGGGUCUCUGGGCCGGUACCGACGCUGAGGAGCGAAAGCGUGGGGAGCGAACAGG
rnacentral:rRNA from 1 species